rnacentral:rRNA from 1 species
GUUUAAGUAGCUGUAGCUAACAGAUAAACAAGCGCUAACUUAGUCCCUGCCAGCAGCGGAAUUAAUAGGGAGGGAGCGAUAGUUAUCAGUAUUUGGUGGAAAGAAAGGGUCGGUAGGCGGAUAAAUAAGUCAGUGAAGAAAUCGGACAGACCAAGGGUCGAACGUCCAUUGAUACUGUUAGUAAUGAGUAAGGUUGAAGUGGAAGGAAUAAGUAGUGUAGCGGUGAAAUGCAU